CGGGUUUGGGUUCUGGAAUGGGUCGACGCGCGGAUCCCCUCCCCCCUAAACGACGUCGUUUCGUUUUGUUAUCAAAACUAAAAAAAUGAAUGGUAAUCUGCUAUUCUCUUCAGCAAUUGAAUCAAAACCCUAAUCCCUCAUGUUUUUCCUCGCUUGGCCGACAAAAGAACCAAAACCUUAGCCAUUUUGAUUCUCAUCGGAUCUAACCGAAAAACUCACACUCAUCACCAUGACACCACUGUAUUUGAUGAUUGGCGAUGAAUAUAUGCCCCUCUUUUACACCGUUUGAAACCACAACUCGUGGAUUACCGAUUUUAACUUUGAAAUCCCAUAUCAAGCUCCGAUCGCGACGAAGGAGAUAGUGACUCCGACGGUGUAUUUUCGAUGGUAAACCCUUCCUCCUCUGUAUUUUUAUGCGAAAACAAAAAUAUACAGGACAAAAAAAAAGGCAAAUCGCAAAAACUAAAGAAAAAAAAUCACCUUCUAAUUUUUUUGGAUUGCUUUUCUUGUAUUUCGUUUGCCUAUUUUCAAUGUGUGUGUAAAAAAUUUACAAUGGCAGUAUUCUUGGCUUUAUAGCCGAAACAGAGUAAAAACCGAAAAAAGAAAAUACAAAUCGAUUGGUUCUGCCUCUUUGCUGUGCUGUUGUUGUCUGUUUCUUCGCAGGUACGGAGCCCCGUUGGAGCGGUGGUACGUGGCGCUUGGCGUGGGGCGUACGGGGGCUGUGUGCUGGAGGCUGCUGAAGCGUUAGAGGCUAAGGGCUGCGGCGCUAGGAAACCCUAGGUUUCCGUUUGGCUGAACCUAGGUCUAGGUUUUGGGCCAUUGGGCCUUUUAGGCAUUGGGUUAUUUGAUUAGGCUAGGUUGUUUUGUAAAUGGGCUUGUAACUGGGCUAUUGGGUCUGAUAUGUAAUGGACUGAUAAUUAGAUUUUUUAUUAUUUGGUUUUUUUUAUAUUUUGUAUUUUGGUUCUUCUUUGGGCCUAGGCAAAAAUGGCCCAUUACAAUUAUUAUUUUAUUGUAUUCUAAAAAUAAAUGACAUCAAUUUAAACUGAAAGAAUUUCUUUUACUUCAUUUAUUAUGUUGAAAAUAUAAAUUCAAUUUAUUUGAAAAAGGGAGAUGUUUAUAACUGUUUAUAUAUUUUUUAAAAUUUUCAUAAAUUUAUAUUCGUAAAACUCUUUUAUAUUUUUACUUCGUUUAUUAUGAGAUUUGAACUCAA
rnacentral:lncRNA from 1 species